rnacentral:rRNA from 1 species
GUGAGGAAUAUUGCGCAAUGGAGGCAACUCUGACGCAGCCAUGCCGCGUGCAGGAAGAAGGCGCUACGCGUUGUAAACUGCUUUUAACCGGGAAGAAACCCCAGGACGUGUCCUGGGUUGACGGUACCGGAGGAAUAAGCACCGGCUAACUUCGUGCCAGCAGCCGCGGUAAUACGAAGGGUGCAAGCGUUAUCCGGAUUCAUUGGGUUUAAAGGGUGCGUAGGCGGAGCGUUAAGUCAGUGGUGAAAUCCUGCAGCUUAACUGUAGACUUGCCAUUGAUACUGGCGCUCUUGAGUGCGCUUGAAGUGGGCGGAAUGUGCCGUGUAGCGGUGAAAUGCUUAGAUAUGGCACAGAACACCAAUUGCGAAGGCAGCUCACUAAGGCGAUACUGACGCUGAGGCACGAAAGCGUGGGGAUCGAACAGGAUUAGAAACCCCAGUAGUCC